rnacentral:rRNA from 1 species
CGAAAGCCUGACGGAGCAACGCCGCGUGAGGGAUGAAGGCCUCUGGGCUGUAAACCUCUUUUAUCAAGGAAGAAGAUCUGACGGUACUUGAUGAAUAAGCCACGGCUAAUUCCGUGCCAGCAGCCGCGGUAAUACGGGAGUGGCAAGCGUUAUCCGGAAUUAUUAGGCGUAAAGCGUCCGCAGGCGGUCUGUCAAGUCUGCUGUUAAAGCGUGGAGCUUAACUCCAUUUCGGCAGUGGAAACUGACAGACUAGAGUGUGGUAGGGGCAGAGGGAAUUCCCGGUGUAGCGGUGAAAUGCGUAGAUAUCGGGAAGAACACCAGUGGCGAAGGCGCUCUGCUGGGCCAUAACUGACGCUCAUGGACGAAAGCCAGGGGAGCG